rnacentral:rRNA from 1 species
UGGGGAAUCUUGCGCAAUGCGCGAAAGCGUGACGCAGCAACGCCGCGUGAGGGAAGAAGGCCUUCGGGUUGUAAACCUCUUUCAGGAGGGACGCGGUACCUCCAGAAGAAGCCCCGGCUAACUACGUGCCAGCAGCCGCGGUAAUACGUAGGGGGCUAGCGUUGUCCGGAAUCAUUGGGCGUAAAGCGCGCGUAGGCGGCCCGGUAAGUCCGCUGUAAAAGUCAAAGGCUCAACCUUUGAAUGUCAGUGGAUACUGCCGGGCUAGAGUCCGGAAGAGGCGAGUGGAACUCCUGGUGUAGCGGUGGAAUGCGCAGAUAUCAGGAAGAACACCGACGGCGAAGGCAGCUCGCUGGGACGGUACUGACGCUGAGGCGCGAAAGCGUGGGGAGCGAACAGGAUUAGAUACCCUUGUAGU